rnacentral:rRNA from 1 species
GACGAACGCUGGCGGCGUGCUUAACACAUGCAAGUCGAGCGACGCUCUUCCUUCUGGGAGAUGACGGAGCGGCGAACGGGUGAGUAACACGUGGGCAACCUGCCCCUAGCUCUGGGACAACACCGGGAAACCGGUGCUAAUACCGGAUACGACAUCGAGCGGCAUUUCUCGAUGUGGAAAGUUUUUUCGGCUAGGGAUGGGCCCGCGGCCUAUCAGCUUGUUGGUGGGGUACUGGCCCACCAAGGCGACGACGGGUAGCCGGCCUGGGAGGGCGACCGGCCACACUGGGACUGAGACACGGCCCAGACUCCUACGGGAGGCAGCAGUGGGGAAUAUUGCGCAAUGGGCGAAAGCCUGACGCAACGACGCCGCGUGAGAGAUGGCGGCCUUCGGGUUGUAAACCUCUUUCAGCAGGGACGAAUUCAGACGGUACCUGCAGAAGAAGCACCGGCCAACUACGUG